UGGGGAAUCUUGGACAAUGGGGGCAACCCUGAUCCAGCGACGCCGCGUGGGUGACGAAGGCCUUCGGGUUGUAAAGCCCUUUUCCCGGGGAGGAUGAUGACGGUACCCGGGGAAUAAGCACCGGCUAACUCCGUGCCAGCAGCCGCGGUAAGACGGAGGGUGCUAGCGUUGUUCGGAAUUACUGGGCGUAAAGGGCGCGCAGGCGGCCCGGUUGGUCGGGUGUGAAAGCCCGGGGCUCAACCCCGGAACGGCACCCGAGACGGCCGAGCUCGAGACCGGGAGAGGAGGGUGGAAUAGCCAGUGUAGAGGUGAAAUUCGUAGAUAUUGGCUGGAACACCGGUGGCGAAAGCGGCUCUCUGGCCCGGUUCUGACGCUGAGGCGCGAAAGCGUGGGGAGCAAACAGG
rnacentral:rRNA from 1 species